CAACACAUUGUGGCCACCAGGUGGAUAUGGUUGUGGCUGAAACGUUCAUGGAUGCUCCUCCACGCUAACUUGAUGUGUGCAUGAGGCCUUUCUGCUGUUUUGACAAUCCCUGUCACAAAGUUGUGACUGCAGAGUGCUCAUACAGCUCUAAUAAUGUCGGAACACUUUGGUCACAGUGGGACAGAGACGGAACGGUUAGAUUGCGCAGUUGGAGUGAACAAGCAUGCAGUUUGUCCCCAGCAAACUAAGGAGGACUUCGCGGUACACGAAGCUAACUGUCCCGCUGUUCAGACAGAUCCACUGUUGGUGAAUUCAGUUCAUUCCACCUGAGGGACGCCCUGGUCAAAGAUGUGAAACUCACUGGUCUAUUAAAGGGAAGGUCCCGAUGAAAAUUGGUCGGGACAAUGAAUGACAACCUCAACAUUUGAAGUUUGAACAGAGAAUGACUACGCAUCAGCACAAGAAGAAAGACAGGAAAAGGCAGGUGAAAAACCGAGAGAUUGAACCCUGUCUUCCAGCGAAACAAUCCACAACCAAUAUAAAGGGCUCUCCAAGCAGCACGCCUGCAGAUCAAGCAUGUGUUUGUGCUCUUAUCAGGCUGGAGUCAUGCCAUAUCAACCACAGCCUUUGAAAUAUGAGAUAACUUUGUGUGAUAAAUAACAUUUGAUGUUGAAAAAAACUGAUUGAUGCACACUGUGAGGCAAAGGGAGAGCCUUCAAAUUUGCAUGACACAUCCUGGAGAUUAGGUUUAAGGCCUUCAACCACCUGUGAUAAUGCUGUGCUGACGAUGCUGAAGAUUGUUUUCUCUGGAAGCGGAUGCUGAAAGUAGAUUGCUUUAUGAAUUAUUUGGACGGGUAUAGUUCAAUUAUACAUUACAGAAUGUCUGCUUGACAAGUCUCCAGUGGAGUGUCUGUUUCUGAUUUUCCUGUUCCCUGAAUUGUACAGUUGUGACAUUCAAAGCGACGUAACUCGUCAUAUAAUUGCAUUUAAGAGUAUACAAUAAUUAUGAUAGCUAUAGUUGUAUUGGUAGUGUAAUGCACAUUUAUCAAAUCCCUUGAUCGCAUUUAUAUAAAAAAACGACAUAAAUAUAUCUGUCUUUUUAAAAGCAAUCUUGGGAAAGGAAACGUGUGUGACAUUAAAAUGUAAACUUUAGUUUUGCUGUUAUUAAUAUGCACAUAAUAAGCAUCUUAUGAAACAGUAAGUCAAAAUACAUGCUGCUGUUUUGAAAUGAAAAGUGUUUUCCAACCCCAUAUAGCUCAGUUCUGAAACUGUCACUCCACAUCUGUUAAAUCCUUUCAGUCAGUGGGCCUCCUCUGCCUCUCCAACUGUGUGCAUGUUGUAUGAGUGUGUGUUGAAACAUCGAGCACUCAAAUGCUUAGUUAUGAUAAAAGGCUGGGACACAAUUUGAAGCAUCAUUUUUUUUAAAGAAGGAGAAACAGUCACACAACCGUUAACACCUUUUUUUGUUGUUGCAACUUUAAUAUUUUUGUAGUUUUUUUGUCCAACGUCAACACAUAUGGAGCAGAGUUUUGCAAAGAGCGGUUGUCCAUAUGUUUUAAGAGCACAAAACUUUCAUAAAAAAAGCCACAUAUUGUGUUCAACAUAUGCGCACAUGAGAGGAUCCAGGUGUUGGGUUUGUAUAUGGGUGAGUGUUAGCUCUGUGUGCUGCAGCUGGCUCCCUGCUGUAUGCUCCUCUACACUGAAGCACUCGGACAGACCCCUUCAGCAUUAAUUACUGUGGCCAUUAAUCAGACUAGCACAAAUAGCUGUGUAAUCCCUCCACAAUGCAGUUUUCUGGAGGGGGCCACCAAUGUUAAUUGGAUUUGAUUACGUACUGGUAUGAUGCUGCACACAGAACAUCUUAAGGUAAUAAUUAGAAGAUAGAUCAAUUGGCUCUGGCCCUGAUCCUGUAGUGUAGGCUGCUGCAGCUGAAAGAAGAGCAUUACUUCCCUUGAAGAGCAGUUCUGACUGAGAUGUUACCUCUAACAUUGCUAAAAUUCACUGUAUCAAUCUGCAAUUGUCUUGAUGUUAAUUUAAAAAUAAAAGGAAAGGGAAAUAUGUAGAUAGAGGUAUGCAAUUCCUGUGGGUUUUAAAAGAUUUCAUGAUACAUACAUACUUGAUUAAGCUCUAUCCUCGGGGCUCAACAAUUUGUUUCAGGUUAUCUUAAUAGAAUAUUUGAAAAUAGUAUAUUACAUCUUUAUUUUUGUAUAUAUUAUAGCAUUAAUACCAGUGAAUGUCUGGUUUUGCAUUCCUCAUUAUUGUAUUCUUCUAACAGAUCUGAAUUUAGGGCAGACGUGAGAAGCAUUCCACUCACGGGUACUAUGUUACCAGUGUCUGUGUUAUUUGAGUCAUCCCGACCCCAAAAAUGGUCCUGCACUGAUGUUCUUCUCUGCUUAAUAUCAGGUCUAUGCCCAAGGUAUUUUUUACAUUUAGCAUUAUGACUGCAAAAAUACAUUUCAUUCUGUUAAAGAUUUAAUUUAUACAUUCAUAAAUACCACAAUUAAACACUUAAACAUUAUAAUGUAUUCUUCCUUCUUAUUCUUUUUUGUUCUACCUCUUUGUUCUUGUCCAAUUUUCAAAUCACGUGUCAAUCAGAUGUCACUCUACAAAAGACUAAGAAGUUAUUUUCAAAGAAGUGUUAAAGAUCAACCCACUUUAAAAGCAAAAGGACCUGUGAACACUUCACCCCUAGAUUUAUUUUUUCACCUAUCAGAAAAGAGAACACAGACCUAUAUAUAACAAGUUUAACCUUGACGCCAUCAUGUGACGGUAGUUAUCUUUACAGUAAGCCUCGGGAGCCACAC